GCUAGACGCGGCGGCACACGCCUGUAGUCCCAGCUACACGGGAGGCUGAGACAGGAGGAUCACUUGAGUUCAGGAGUUCUGGGCUGUAAUGCACUAUGCCAAUCAGGUGUCCGCACUAAGUUCAGCAUCAGUGUGGUGACCUCCCAGGAGCAAGGGGCCACCAGGUUGCCUAAGGAGGGGUGAACCGGCUCAGGUCAGAAACAGAGCAGGUCAAAUGACCAUGAACGUGCAAAGUCUUGCUGCAACUCUUUAUCCCACCCAUUAAUAUCCCCAACCUAGGAGCAGCCACCCUCUCC
rnacentral:SRP_RNA from 1 species